UCGAGUCGUUGGACCUAUAGAAGGCAAGUUCUUGGCUGUGCUUUUAUGCCGAGAAUGUAAACUAUAUAGAAUUUUUGUUGUUUUAAAUUGAAUUCGGUCAAAUCAGACAUGGAUAUAUUGCAGUUGUUCUCCUAGAGUAUUGAAUAUUCUUCAUCAAACAUGCAUGAAGGUCAACGCUGUCCAUGGGGUCCUCAACGUUCCUGCAUUCUCAGUGAAUGGCAGGCAUUGCAGGUGCCCGACUUCCCGGGGUUUUCUUACAGGUGCGAACAAACAAUAGCAGUAGCAUAAAGUUACUAAACUAAAGCAUAGUAAAGUUUGCGCAAUAUGAAUUUGUAUACAAAAUAUUUCAUUUCUUUUAUUCCGUUAUAUAUAUUCUCAGCUCAGUAACUCUUUUUGUGUCAUGAAUUCUUGUCCGAUUAUUCUAUUCAAUUCAUGUUCUUCGUUCUAACCAAAUGGCCUUCGUUCUAUCUGAAUGUCCUUCGUUCUAAAUACAUGUUCUUAGUUCUAAUUAAUAUUACACGUUCUAAUUGCAUGUUCUUCGUUCUUUUUCGCAUUUAAUACAUUCUAAUUGCACGUUCGUCGUUCUAUAAAUGUGUGUUCUUUAUUCUAAUUAGAUGUUCUUCAUUCUAAUUGAAUGUUCUUCAUUCCAGCUGACUGUUCUUCGUUGGAAAUGCAAGUCUUCAACGUUCUCGUUUGUAAUUGGAUAUUCUUCGUUUUAAAUACUUUCAAAUUGCAGCAUGCUUUUCCAAAUUCUAAAUGGCCGUUCUUCGUGUACUGUACACACAGAUUUCCGGAGUUACGCAAAUUCGCCCACAGGAAAUGUGCCGAAAAGUUGUUAAUUUUUUAAUUGAAAAGCAAACAAGAGCCGUUAAUUAAACAAUUUAAACAUUGAAAUGUACACAAAAACGUUGUUUGUUUGCUUUUGAGAGUGAGUUGUAAAC